AUUUUAGCCAUUCAUAGCAAUUUAAGCGACCGUGCUAGAACUACGGGAUCCGAGGGUGCCUAACAUUUUCCUUCGGAUCAACAGAAUUCCUUAUUCAGAAUUUCUGGUUCGCAGACUCCAAUUGGGAAGUCGAAGUUUUCCUCGGUUCGGGAUUCAAGAUAAGUUGGUGACGUGGAACACAAAAAUCCAAAUUUAUCCCAAGUGGCGACUCUGAAUAAAUAAAUAAUUCCGAUCCGGAUAAUGUCACUAUAAAUGGAAAAACUCCCUUAUACAUUAUCCUUCGGGGUAAGGUGUGUAAAAAAGAAGGUGUGACAGCUUUGGCGACUCUGCUGGGGAAAAGAACCCAGAACAUUUUGUUUAGGGUUCAGAAUUCGAGCUUAGAUAAAUUGUUGUAUUUGGUUAUAUCUGAUUUUUGUACAUGCUACAUUCUUAAUGUGCUAAUUGUUACCGCUUUGAUAUUAUUUGAACUGUAUAUAAAUUGUGCCGACACCCUUCUCUUUUUACCUCCAGGGAUGUGCUUACUGGUUGAGACUCCCUAUUCUGUUAGUAUCAUACCCUGAAAUAAGAAAGAGGCCUGAUAAGUUACUAAGCCGCCUGACCCCGUAGGUCACCGGUAAGUUUCCCCCUCCUCAAUUCGAGUUGUCCGCUCUGGUACACUGUCUAGAACACCGACCCGGAUUUUGAACAUAGAAUAACUUGACUUCAUGCGGGAUCCCUAGUAGGAAAGCUUAUUUGCAUCAUGCCGCAUUUGACUUAGGGGACUCAACACAGGGGUUGGGUCCGUCUAGGGCUAGCAACCUGAAAUAAAAAGACCAUCCUGGUGCAUCCUACUUUUAUUUGCAUCAUGCCGCAUUUGACUUAGGGGACUCAACACAGGGGUUGGGUCCGUCUAGGGCUAGCAACCUGAAAUAAAAAGACAAUCCUGGUGCAUCCUACUUGUUCUGUGCAUUUAUUUUUUUGAACAUGCAUGUUGACCGACUUUUGGAAUGUCGGAAUUUGAGAAAAAUCAAAAAUAGAGAAAAUGAGGGAAAUAGCAGUUAGGAAGCUAAUAUUUGGAUAAAAUCUGAUAACCGCGUACUGUCGAAACUCUGCCGAAAUUUUGAAUAGAAACAAUGAAAAGG
rnacentral:lncRNA from 1 species